ACCUCUUCCCUUCCGGAAGUGGGAACUGCGAGAGUGAGGUCGAACCUCGCUCCUUGCAGCGGCUCUGUUAGCUCUCAGUGUUUUCUUUGACGUUCUCCUGCGUCAUUGCACCCUCAUAUUGACAAGAGGGUGCUCCACCCGGUACUCCUGGGCUGGGGCCAAAAUGCAGGCCACUGAAAUAGUCAUCGAAGUAUGAGGGCAAGGAUUCGCUGUGGUUAUUGGAGUGGCAUCUGAAGCCCCACUGUCUGGAAUCGAAUCCUGUUUUCACCGCGUCUUUUGGUUAACAUUACAUGGUGACCAGAUAGGACCUGAAGGAGAUGAACCCCUGAGAAGUAAUGACCCCUGGAACUCUGUGAUAUACCCAUAGUGUCCCUCGUGCUCUCCACUUCCAUGAGCCAUCAUUUUCCUUUUGGUUUGGAAUAGACUCUUGGAUCCAUGAGUCACACCUAAAAAAAGCACAAAACCUUGACUGGACCUGCACACCAACUGAUGACCUGAAAAUAAAGAUUUCCAGGAGUUGAAGCAGAUGAUAACUGAAGGAGACAGCUUUCCAAAGAUGACCGGAUCAGACCUGUGUACCUUUUUCUCAUUGUUGCUUCUUAUUUCGUCCCUUUCCUUCUUGGCACCAUCUGAUGUAAAAGGGAGAAACCUUUCUGACUGUUCGAUCUGUCCCCAGAAACUCUGAUCUGUUCAUGAUAUUGGAGAUCCCUUAGUCUUCCUUAUUUAAAUACUGUUUGUUCCCCUGUACUCAUGGGAAAUACAAAUAAGCUAUCUUGUCUGCAAGAACUUUGGAAAAGAUUCUUCAAGCUAGAAUGGUGCCUUGGAAAUGUCUGUUCCUCAUCUUAAUCAUUUUUAAGCUUUAUACCUGUUGCCUGUCAAACCUUUGUAGCAAUGACUUGCUUGGUAGUGUGAUGCACUUUGACCUUUAUAAGCACCUCCAACACUUACGUCAGAUGGAAAAUGCCUGAGAGCUCUCCCUCCUACCCUUCCUUGUUACUCAAAUGUGGCUUCAACAGUUUCUAAUCUAGGUACUGUUCCUCUGAUGUGGAACAUGACAACCAGGAAAGGGCUUUCUGGCACCAAGGGACAAAACCACUAAAUAUCAAAAAACCUUGACUCUUGAUCAGCAACCUUUUCAAGAAAAGAUCUUGGUCAAAAGAGGGGAAUGUGAACAUAAAUAAAGGAAAUUGCAUUGAAAUGGAGUUGGGAAGCCUUGAGUGGGGAGUGUGCAUUCACUGUCACUUCUCAUAAGAAGCGUACGUUGUAUUCCCUGGCAGGAAGAAGCUUGCUUUAUACACCCCAGCUGGAGGAGGGAAGAAUUUCUCCUGGCCAGCAACAGCACAGCUAAUGAGAACUCAGCAAAACAGCCCUCCUAAUUUCUUCCUUUCCCCUGUGAAGGCAAGCCCUUCUCCUCUGUUCUCCAGAGUGCCUAUGGUUUGCCAGCCUCCUCCUUUUCUAUUCCCAAACAGAUGCAUUUCACCGGUGAAAUAAUUGGUUCUUUUGUUUUUUAAGGGCAGCAGAAGCAGAAACCAUCUGAGGUUUCUGGUAGCAGACUGAAGGGUUCUGAAAAACUACGGUUUGCUGGGAAGAGAAGUGGUGUCUGGGGCAUCAGGGUAGUUGGUGAGAGCAGGCUGUAGGAGAGAGGAAAGAUCUUGCUUACUACCUGCUUCCCAUUACCCCAUUCCUUUAAGCGCUCAGAAUGUUAAUUGACCUGGUGGCCUUUAUGUAAAACAUUAGUGUGCAAACUUCUCCCAGCAGAAACGUGGGCAAAAUUACAGUUGACCCUUGAACAACAUGAGGGUUAAGGGCAGUCAAAAAUCUGGACAUAACUUUUGACUCCCCCAAAAUUUAACUAUUAAUAGCCUACUGUGGACCAGAAGCCAUACUGAUAACAAAGUUGAUUAAUAUGUUUUGUAUAUGUGCUAUAUACUGUACUUUUACAAUAAAGUAAGCUAGAGAAAAAUUUUUUUAAAAUUGUCAUGCAUCUCCAAAACAUUUUCUAGUAUAUUUAUUGAAAAAUCCACAUAUAAGUGGACCCACACAGUUCAAACCAAUGUUGUUCAAGGGUCAACUGUGUAGUGAAUUGUGCUUGUAUUUUUAUUGCAGUGGGGAAGCUUUGGGUUUCUUUCCAAGUUUCACCCCUUUGUGUCCUGCAUGUGGCUAUUACCAGUUAAGUGGGACCAGUGGCCAGAGGUCUGGACUUCCCAUCAUUUGCUGCCCCUUUCACCCUUUGCCUGAAAUACAAAUAGGUUGGGAGACCACAAAGGCCCCAGGCUCUCUGGGAGGAGACCAUCAUGGUUUCAGAAAGAAUAGGCCAAAGCCAGCUCAUUUAACCACUAGAUGUGAUUAAAUAAUAAUAAUGUGUGAGCACUCAAAAUCAUACCAGACUCUUCUUGGAUGACUUUGUCAUAGUGUUUAGUUUUUCUAACAACCUGGUAAGAUAGAUCCUUAUUAUCCCCAUUGUACAGUUGAGGAAAUGGAAUUAAUUAAAUUACCUGGGUCACUCAAGCUAGUAUGUUGCAUAUCUAGGGUUUGAUGGAUUUAAAAUUCCAUCUACCUGACCCUAAACACCAUUCCUAAUCUGUGUGCUUUAUCUGAAGCACGCAGGGCUAUAUGGUUUUCCUGAAUCUUUUUCUUGCAUUGAAUGUCUUAUUAGAUUUCACCAUUUGAAAUUCCAUCCCUUGAAUCAUGAAGGCUUUGCCUACCCAAAUUCCCUUUUCAAAAGGUAUCUGUCCAAAGGAGCAGCAGUGGCUUAAGCAUAUCAGGUAACAUUUGAGUGGAGGAAAAUGGGCUCUCAGCUAAGUCCCCCACAAAGGACAUGGGCAAUUAAUUCAGUUUCCUCAAGUUAAUGAGUUUUGGAGAAUCAGGGACACUAAAGGUCCAAAGAAAGAUUGGAUCAAGUAUAAAUUUUAUAUUGGUACUCUCAGAGGUUUGCUACCAUUUAGAAAGCCAACCCUUUGGGGCCUAAUCUAUUGUUUUUGCAUCCAGAUGACAUUAUUAGCACAUAAUAUAAACAAUACAUUAUAAUGCUCAGAGGCUCCUGACUCAACCUUCUGUAGCCGUUCUUGCCUCCUUCAUAGUUACCAUUAUUUCUCAGGAUUACAGGAAGAUUCAAUCAUAUUCAUAUAUCCUGAGGGAGUUUUUCACCCAGCAGACUGAGACAGCAUACUGUCACAGGCCCUUUGAUAUUCUGGUUUCACUGUACAUUUUAAUAGGUACUCGUUUAGAUUAAUCAACAAUCUGUAAGAUGUAACAAUAUUGUUGAGUGUACAUUAUAUUCCAGACACUGUAGUAAUAAGCACUUUCCAUGCAUGAUUUCAUUAAAAUCUCAUGAGUCUGAGAACAAAUUUAUCCCAGAAAGACCAACUUGUUCAAAGUCACACACACACAUAAAUAGCAGAGCAAAGAUUUAGGUCCAGUUUAACUCCAGAGCCUCAUAACCAUGCAUGGUGGUAAAUGUAGUUGGAUAAUAACAUGUGAUCUAAAUAUAGUCAUAGAGGCUCUGAGAAAAGAUGGUAGGGUAUUUACUGGUCAACAAUGUGGUCUGUACCACUGUUGCUUAGAGCUCAUUCCUGGAGGGGUAACUCUCAAUGAAAUAGCACAUUUAUAAUAAUAAUAAUACAUAUAACUGAAUAACAA